CUAUUCUCAACCUGGCAAUCGCUGACUUUAUUUCAUGCAUGUCGAGUUUCUUUUUAUGGGGACAAAUAUUUUUCAUCCCUGGAAACAGGUUAUACUAUGCGAUCACCUCUUUUGGCUGGGGUUUCGGUUCUUCCGCUUCGUUCUUAUGGUUGACAUUACUCUCUGUACAAAUUUUCGUAAUCACAAAAUUUCCGUUCAAAAGUCGCUAUUGGUUCACCACUCUAAAGAUCGUAUUGGUUGGCAUGGCAGUUUGGCUCUUCGCAUUUUUAUUGGGUCUCAGCGAGCUUACCUACCGUUUCCAUUUGCCAAAAACAAUGAGCUUAAAAAUUUGGACAGCUGGUAUAGGCGUACUACAAAUUGCACUUGCCAUUCAAAUAGUUUUGAAUAUCCAAGUUACGAUCGAGAUAAUUCGAAGUGGACGAAUCAGUGGAAAUCCUCAAAAUGCCAAGCACAAGAAUAUCGCAAAGACUGUGAUCAUUCUUACGCUGAUUCUCUUCCUCACCGCUUUUCCUU